rnacentral:sRNA from 1 species
GAUACCAGGGUCAAAAGGUCAGAAAUCUGACGCAAGCUUACUUGCAGGAGGAUUUUUGACUUUGGGACCCGCCCAAAAUAUGAGUAAGUAGCCAUUUUUCGAAGAAAAAUGAGCGGAUUACGAAUGUUUUUGAGAAUUGCGGGAGUGCAAAGCACGGAGCAAUCCGGU